rnacentral:rRNA from 1 species
AACGAACGCUGGCGGCAGGCCUAACACAUGCAAGUCGAACGCCCCGCAAGGGGAGUGGCAGACGGGUGAGUAACACGUGGGAACGUGCCCAAAGGUUCGGAAUAUUCCCGGGAAACUGGGAGCAAUACCGAAUGUGUCCGCAAGGAGAAAGAUUUAUCGCCUUUGGAUCGGCCCGCGUCGGAUCAGCUAGUUGGUGGGGUAAAAGCCUACCAAGGCGACGAUCCGUAGCUGGUUUGAGAGAACGACCAGCCACACUGGGACUGAGACACGGCCCAGACUCCUACGGGAGGCAGCAGUGUGGAAUCUUGGACAAUGGGCGCAAGCCUGAUCCAGCCAUGCCGCGUGGAUGAUGAAGGCCCUAGGGUUGUAAAAUCCUUUCGUUGGGGACGAUAAUGACGGUACCCAAAGAAGAAGCUCCGGCUAACUUCGUGCCAGCAGCCGCCGUAACAC